GACGAACGCUGGCGGCGUGCUUAACACAUGCAAGUCGAACGGAAAGGCCCUGCUUUUGUGGGGUGCUCGAGUGGCGAACGGGUGAGUAACACGUGAGUAACCUGCCCUUGACUUUGGGAUAACUUCAGGAAACUGGGGCUAAUACCGGAUAGGAGCUCCUGCUGCAUGGGGGGGGUUGGAAAGUUUCGGCGGUUGGGGAUGGACUCGCGGCUUAUCAGCUUGUUGGUGGGGUAGUGGCUUACCAAGGCAUUGACGGGUAGCCGGCCUGAGAGGGUGACCGGCCACAUUGGGACUGAGAGACGGCCCAGACUCCUACGGGAGGCAGCAGUGGGGAAUAUGGCACAGUGGGCGGAAGCCUGAUGCAGCAACGCCGCGUGCGGGAUGACGGCCUUCGGGUUGUAAACCGCUGUCGCCUGUGACGAAGCGUGAGUGACGGUAAUGGGUAAAGAAGCACCGGCUAACUACGUG
rnacentral:rRNA from 1 species